AAGACUAUACUUUUAGGGAUCAUUUCUAUAGUUUGUUACUAGAGAAGUCUCUCUGAAUGUGUAGAGCACCAAUCUAGCCAGCCACCUAGUGA
ensembl:snoRNA U3 Small nucleolar RNA U3